ensembl:rRNA 5S_rRNA 5S ribosomal RNA
GUCUACAGCCGUGCCACCCUGAACGCACCUGAUCUCGUCUGAUCUUGGAAGCUAAGCAGGGUCGGGGCUGGUUAGUACUUGGAUGGGAGACCGCCUGGAAAUACCAGGUGCUGUAGAAG